rnacentral:rRNA from 1 species
UACGAAGGGGGCUAGCGUUGCUCGGAAUUACUGGGCGUAAAGCGCACGUAGGCGGUCUUUUAAGUCGGUGGUGAAAGCCCGGAGCUCAACUCCGGAACUGCCAUUGAAACUGUUGGACUUGAGUACGAGAGAGGUGAGUGGAAUUCCCAGUGUAGAGGUGAAAUUCGUAGAUAUUGGGAAGAACACCGGUGGCGAAGGCGGCUCACUGGCUCGUAACUGACGCUCAGGCGCGACAGCGUGGGGAUCAAACAGG